rnacentral:misc_RNA from 1 species
UCCCUUUUAGGGGCAGUCUCGUUAGAGAGUGUAACUAACGACAAGGGUUGCGCUCGUUGCGGGACUUAACCCAACACCUCACGGCACGAGCUGACAACAACCAUGCAGCACCUGUGUAGGCUCCCUUGCGGGUCCCUCGCCUUUCAGCUCAGUACCACCUACAUGUCAAGCCCUGGUAAGGUUCUUCGCUUAGCAUCGAAUUAAACCACAUGCUCCACCGCUUGUGCGGGCCCCCGUCAAUUCAUUUGAGUUUUAACCUUGCGGCCGUACUCCCCAGGCGGUCGACUUAUCGCGUUAACUGCGCCACAAAGUCCGCGAGGGACCCAACGGCUAGUCGACAUCGUUUACGGCGUGGACUAC